rnacentral:rRNA from 1 species
AAUUCGAUGCAACGCGAAGAACCUUACCUGGUCUUGACAUCCACGGAAGUUUUCAGAGAUGAGAAUGUGCCUUCGGGAACCGUGAGACAGGUGCUGCAUGGCUGUCGUCAGCUCGUGUUGUGAAAUGUUGGGUUAAGUCCCGCAACGAGCGCAACCCUUAUCCUUUGUUGCCAGCGGUCCGGCCGGGAACUCAAAGGAGACUGCCAGUGAUAAACUGGAGGAAGGUGGGGAUGACGUCAAGUCAUCAUGGCCCUUACGACCAGGGCUACACACGUGCUACAAUGGCGCAUACAAAGAGAAGCGACCUCGCGAGAGCAAGCGGACCUCAUAAAGUGCGUCGUAGUCCGGAUUGGAGUCUGCAACUCGACUCCAUGAAGUCGGAAUCGCUAGUAAUCGUGGAUCAGAAUGCCACGGUGAAUACGUUCCCGGGCCUUGUACACACCGCCCGUCACACCAUGGGAGUGGGUUGCAAAAGAAGUAGGUAGCUUAACCUUCGGGAGGGCGCUUACCACUUUGUGAUUCAUGACUGGGGUGAAGUCGUAACAAGGUAACCG